AAUACGAUCAUCGAAACAGCGAAGUGAUCGAGCUUCCGAAAACGCCCGGCGGCACGCGCCGUCGGGAUUACU
rnacentral:sRNA from 1 species